CCUCUUCUGAAUCCUGCAAAUCAAAUCGUUCCUUUGCUUCUGAGGUUUAUUUAUUAAUUAUUGGUUUUCUGCGUUUCCUCCCACGUGAUCUUGUGUUCCUUGGUUUGUUCUGCUAUGAAACUUACCCUUUGAUGUUCAGGCAUCUUGGAUUUGCCUGUGUUGCAUUAGUUGUCUUGUGAAGAAGAUGUUCAAGUCCUGAUGCAAAGGGAACAACCGUCAACUCAUGGUAAUCGUUAUAUUGCUUGUCAAAUCCUUUUUUUUUUGCUUUACUUUAUAAUACUGUGAUGAGAGUUUUUUAACGCACAAACCAGUCAGUCGUUUCUUACCUUGCGAUCACUACAAUAUACUACCAGUCACUUAGUUUUUAAGGCAUAGCUUUUGUAUUGGCAACAUUAAAACUAGGCUGAGUGGCGAUUACUUGGAUUUUCGUCCACAAUUUUUGUUUUCCUCAAUUAGCCCAUGCCACAUCCCUUCUACAACUAACAUAACACAGUACAAAUUAUCCAAGCUAGCACUUACAGAGACUAGUUUUAUGUAACCAAAGAACCCUUACAUGCAUGCAACUUACCAGCGUGUUUCAAGGUUCCAGUAAUUCUAAUAAACUCAGUAUCUCUGCGCUUUAAAGGUUUAGAUACAUGUUCAGAAAUUCAGGUAGGCUAUUACCACUAGGCACUCUAUAGAUCAUAUCUUCCCAGAACACACAUCCAUCCAAUCAAUUUCUGCUAAGACACUAACAGAUUAAAGUCUUCCACCACAUGGACAUUUGUUGUCAUGACAGAAAAACUGGACAGUUUUCUCUACUAAUAUUCUUGCUCGUUCAAAGAUGUAUAUGAUAGCCACCAGAAGACAAAAUUUGCAGUAGCAAAAAAUUCACGGAAUCAUUGUUCAGCAGAACUAAUUAUUAAAAUUGAUCGCCUUGUUUUUUGGACCUCCUCCUGAACGUUGAUUGCCUUGUUUUCGGACCUCCUCCUGAAUGAGCAUUGCUUAAACCUGCAAGCACAAAAGAUAUACUCACUAUGAGUAAAUCAAAGUAUUCAACAUAAAAAAAAAUAAACCAUCAUAUAAAGCAAUAAAUGAUCAUAAUAAACGGUUAAUUUCCAGUUCUAAGUGCCUGUGCAAUUCCACCUUGUUACAUCUAAGCUCAUUUCAAGUUUGAUUUAAUUACAGGGAUAAAGCAGUCUGAUACUGUAUUGGCUCCACCAAGCCAGUGGGAUCUUGUGUCAGAUAAAACAAAUGAUGCAGGAGGAGCAACCAUUGCAGGUGAAUUAGCAUGAUGUCCGCCUUAACCUUUUCUACAAUGCAUAGAACUAGUGGUUAUGUUGCGACCUUUGUGCUUUAUCAUCCCCCUCACAGUGAACUAAUAAUAAAUUAAAUUCUGCCGUGAUGGUCGCUAGAUGCACGAAGAUAAUAAGUCCAAAUACUGAUGAUGCCAAAUAAGUCCCAAGCAACCAUAUCUUCUUGAGGUUGUAUGUUGACUUAUUGUGGUGGCAUAUUGCAGUUUGUGGUCGGUCUGGGGGACAAAGUUCCCCCCACCGACAUUGAGGAAGGAAUUAGAGUUGGACAAGGUGUUGCUUUUGUAUCUGAUUAUGCCUUGUGUCAAAAUGCUUCUCUCUAAUGAUUGUGUGUAGCUGUAAAGGUGAACCCCUUUCUGUGCUAAUCUAGAAUAAAGUUGUUAAUAACAACUCCUCCAUUCACUAAGAUAAGACCGUUUAGCUAUUUCUAUAUCGGUGACUACAUAUAUACUAAAAUGAGUGAACAUAUAUACUAAAAUGUGUCUAGAUACAUACGGAUCAAGAAAAAGCGAAAAUGUAUGGAGUAUUUUUGAGUGCUAAGCUACAUCACUGUUAUGCAUUAACUGACUGGGUACUACUUCCAAAGAAUCAUCUAAAUGUAAUCCUUCAAUUGACCUGUGGCUAUUACCUACUAGUAUGAUCUACUCCCUCCGUCCGAAAAUGCUUGUCCCUCAAAUGGAUGUAUCUAGCACCAAGUUAGAGCUAGAUAUAUCCAUCUAGAGGGACAAGCUUGACAAAGCUUUUUCGGACGGAGGGAUUAUCGAUUAGCACUAGGAUUUGGCACAAUGUAAAUAAGCAACAGUUGAUGUAGUUUUCUUGCUGCAAGGAGUUAUGCUAUGUUUAUGCUUUGUGUCCACACUUUCAGUUGACUAAUAGAUUCUGGGCAGUUUGAUUUUUAACAAGACUAGAUAAGGAUUCAGUUGACUUACAGAUUCUGGGCAGCAUGGAUUUCGAGUCGCUCGACUAGUUGCGACUAGUCGACGACUAGUCUAUGAGUCGCAAAAAUAUGGUCGACUCAGCUUAGUGUCGACUCGUGACUCUUAGUCGCGACUAGUCACAACGCAGGCUCGACUUCUUCCGAGUCACUGCCCCAGAGCAACUCGCAUGAGUCGCGACUCGAAAACCAUGCUGGGCAGUUUGAUUUUUAACAAGACUAGAGAAUGAUUCAGUUGACUUAUAGAUUCUGGGCUGUUUGAUUUUUACCAAGACUAGAUAAUGAUAAUAUAAGCUUACAGCAUCAAUAUGCAAAAAGGAGAAGUAUUACUUAAUGAGCACCUUAAAUGCAACACAUCACUUUACCCAAGGUAAAGCAAUACUGGAGGAAGGAUUACACUUUACUUGCUGUUGUGUCUGGUGGUACCUAUAGUGCUGGGGCUUAUAUGAUUCCGCGCAUUGAUUAAUAUUCUGAUUUUGCUAUGCCGAGACUCUGCUUUAGUGCCUGAUGCCCAGGAUUCUUAAUUAUUUGUGCUCACAGGUUAUAUUCGAUGCACUGCAUACCAAGUUAAGCUACCGGCCAGCCAUUUAGGACCAAAUGAAGCAAUUCAAAAGUUGUGCUACAUAAAUAGGUUCUUUGACUUGUAAGUCAAAAAUCAAAAGUUACAAGUUAAGCAUAACCAAACACUGGGAAUGGCCGCACCAAAGGUAAGAAAAGGUGACAUCAUCUGAAAGUUAGCAUAUACAUUUUGCUAGAUAUAUCAUUUUAACUUUUAGAAUAACUACAGUCAGCACUUUUGCAAAACUGAUUGGUUUAUGAAAAAAACACAUGCGAAUUUACACUGCACUUAUCAUUUAUGAGCCCAUUUCGUGGUGACAUGUGUAUGUUAUUAGCUUUAAUUAAGCUUGUUUGUCCAUUAAUAAAACCUGAUGAGUAUGGCCAUUGUCAGAUAAACAGAUGAUGCAGGAGCAGCUUGUUUGUCCAUUAGUAAAACCUGAUGAGUAUGGCCAUUGUCAGAUAAACAGAUGAUGCAGGAGCAACCUUUAUCUAGAAUGCUUAGAAGUAGUGGUUAUGUUGUUACCUUUGCGCUUUAUCAUCUCCCUCACAGUUACGUAAUAAUAAAUUAAAUUCUGUUGUGAUGGUCCCUAGGUGCUUGAAAAUAACAAGUCCAAAUAUUGAUGAUGCCAAAUGUUGUGAAAAACAAAUCGCAAAGGUAUGUCAUUAUUGUACUAUGUUAUGCCAAUUGUAUCUUGUGGAGAUGAUUCCUUGCAGGAGGAUGACAUUUAAACAGUCGAUGAAGUAAGGAGCACAAAGGUCCAGAGGUGAAUUUAUGCCCUGGUUAUGCAAAUCUGCUAGUAAGAUUGAAGCAAGCGAUGCAACCCGCUGAUGUGGAGCAAACUUUGAUUAACAAGUGAUGGUACAAGCUAAUGUAUGUAUGUUUUGGGCUGCUGAUGCACCAGUGUAGCAUGUUAUAAAAUUUCUGCAAGGUUACCUGGAUGUUGUGUUUAUUGGAAUUUUCCUUCCAACUGUUUGUGCAACAAGCGGCGCUCGUCUCUGCAAAACAAUUUGUAGAUAUUGAUACCAAAGAUGAAAAAAGAAUGUGUAGAGAGAAUUAAUGGUAAAACAAGGGUUCCAUGUUGAUAUUCAUAGCAGGACAGGACAGAUUAUUAUUUUUCCAAGUCAAGCUGUAGAGAAUGACAGGCAUGAUUUUGUCCUACCUGUGGAUCUGGACGUGAGAAUUCCAGUCUCUUGUUAGCACAGAUCGGUUGCACGAUUCACACUUGAUCUUGAUAUCGGACAGCGAUAGGGCUCUCAACUGGGUAACCUCAUUUUUGGCGUUGAACAGCUCCUCCUUGAGGGCAGCCUUUUCUGCCUUGCAUAGUUUCUUAUCCUCUUUUGGAGGUGAAAUACAUACUACGAGAAAGAAAGAAAUCAUUUACAAGAGCUCAAUCUUGUGAAGGAGCUCUUCCUUUUCCUCUUUGAGCGUCUUCUCAAGAUGAGCGAUUUCUUCUUUCAGCUCAACCUUUUCCUCUGUGUGCUUGCUCUCAGCGUCAGCCCUACAUGCAGUUGCAGUUAGUUAAUUCGGUGGGUAGAUCGAUCACAAUAGAAGAUUCAUCCAUGUAAUGUAAAGCAUGCAGUUGCAGUUAGUUAAUUUGGUGGAUCGAUCGAUCACAAUACAACAUCCAUCCAUCCAUGUAAUAAUAAUGUAAAAAAAGCAGGGGAGGGAGGGAGGGAGGGAGGGAGGGGGUCCAAGACGGACACGUACAUACGCUCCAGCUUGCUCUGCAGCUCUGCCUUCUCAUCUGCGAACAGUAGCUGGUUUUGCUCC
rnacentral:lncRNA from 1 species